ensembl:lncRNA
CUACCAUAUAAUCUAGGAUUUAGUUUGGACAGAUUUACUUAGUUCUAUUACGGGUAUGAGUAUUCCACGAAAUUCAUCUAUCUUCUCUGAAUGAGCCCCACACUCCUGCAAUGCUUCUUUACUUUCACUAAGGAACUUUACUCUCCUGUAGAGGACGACAACAUGCCAACUUCUGCCCUGAAGAAAUGCAUUCACCAGUUUGAUGUUUCUGUUUGUUUUCAAUGCUUGCUCAAUAUGUAAAGGCUCCAUGGGAAUUGGCAUAUUUAUUUCUAAUCAGCUUUUAAGAUGGCAUCAAUCAGAGGUGUUUAAC